rnacentral:tRNA from 1 species
GGGCAAUUAGCUCAGCUGGAUAGAGCGUUGGCCUCCGGAGCCAAAGGUCGUGAGUUCGAAUCUCGCAUUGCCCGCCA